CCUACGGGAGGCAGCAGUGAGGAAUAUUGGUCAAUGGGCGAGAGCCUGAACCAGCCAAGUCGCGUGAAGGAUGACGGCCCUACGGGUUGUAAACUUCUUUUGUCAGGGAGCAAUUGGGUCCACGCGUGGGCUUAGCGAGAGUACCUGAAGAAAAAGCAUCGGCUAACUCCGUGCCAGCAGCCGCGGUAAUACGGAGGAUGCGAGCGUUAUCCGGAUUUAUUUGGUUUAAAGGGUGCGUAGGCGGUCCGUUAAGUCAGCGGUAAAAGUGCGGGGCUCAACCCCGUCGAGCCGUUGAAACUGGCAGACAUGAGUUGGCGAGAAGUACGCGGAAUGCGCGGUGUAGCGGUGAAAUGCAUAGAUAUCGCGCAGAACUCCGAUUGCGAAGGCAGCGUACCGGCGCCAGACUGACGCUGAGGCACGAAAGCGUGGGGAUCGAACAGGAUUAGAUACCCGAGUAGUC
rnacentral:rRNA from 1 species